CUUGAACGCUGGCGGCAGGCUUAACACAUGCAAGUCGAGCGGAGAUGAGGUGCUUGCACCUUAUCUUAGCGGCGGACGGGUGAGUAAUGCUUAGGAAUCUGCCUAUUAGUGGGGGACAACAUUCCGAAAGGAAUGCUAAUACCGCAUACGCCCUACGGGGGACAGCAGGGGAUCUUCGGACCUUGCGCUAAUAGAUGAGCCUAAGUCGGAUUAGCUAGUUGGUGGGGUAAAGGCCUUCCAAGGCGACGAUCUGUAGCGGGUCUGCGAGGAUGAUCCGCCACACUGGGACUGAGACACGGCCCAGACUCCUACGGGAGGCAGCAGUGGGGAAUAUUGGACAAUGGGCGGAAGCCUGAUCCAGCCAUGCCGCGUGUGUGAAGAAGGCCUUUUGGUUGUAAAGCACUUUAAGCGAGGAGGAGGCUACCUGGAUUAAUACUCUAGGAUAGUGGACGUUACUCGCAGAAUAAGCACCGGCUAACUCUGUGCCAGCAGCCGCAGUAACAC
rnacentral:rRNA from 1 species